AUUGAACGCUGGCGGCAGGCCUAACACAUGCAAGUCGAGCGGAUGAAAAGAGCUUGCUCUCUGAUUUAGCGGCGGACGGGUGAGUAAUGCCUAGGAAUCUGCCUGGUAGUGGGGGAUAACGUUCCGAAAGGAACGCUAAUACCGCAUAUGUCCUACGGGAGAAAGCAGGGGACCUUCGGGCCUUGCGCUAUCAGAUGAGCCUAGGUCGGAUUAGCUAGUUGGUGAGGUAAUGGCUCACCAAGGCGACGAUCCGUAACUGGUCUGAGAGGAUGAUCAGUCACACUGGAACUGAGACACGGUCCAGACUCCUACGGGAGACAGCAGUGGGGAAUAUUGGACAAUGGGCGAAAGCCUGAUCCAGCCAUGCCGCGUGUGUGAAGAAGGUCUUCGGAUUGUAAAGCACUUUAAGUUGGGAGGAAGGGUAGUAAGUUAAUACCUUGCUGUUUUGACGUUACCGACAGAAUAAGCACCGGCUAACUUCGUGCCAGCCGCCGCGGUAACAC
rnacentral:rRNA from 1 species